UCUGGCCGUCGCUGCUCUCUCCGUCACGGACCUCAACGUAGUCAUACUGGCACAUGUAGUCAAACUCCAGGCUCAGCAUGACAAACCUCAGCUGGAUGAUGAACCCAGGUUUGGCGUGAAUGGUCCACUCGCAGUGAGCAUUUAGGGGGUAGCUCUCCAACAAAAUCUGACCCUUCGAGGCUCGCAGAACCUGGCCACAUCCUGAGAAGAGAAGAUUGGGGCAUGAAAAUUGGAGUCAACAAGAAAGAGAUGGUAGAAGGUCUCAAAGAGCCUUUGAGAUCAUCCCACACCCCUGUGAACAGAGCGGGGAAGGAAAUUUCUCAAGCGUCUGGCAAUGUGCUAGGCAGUUUGCACAGGUGAAUUCAUUUACUCCACCCAACAGCUUGAGAAGGGAAGUGGUAUCAAUCCAGUUUUCCAGCUGGGAAAAUGGAUAACCAGAGAGUUAAAUAAAUGACUUGCCUAGCUACUAAGUAACAGAG